rnacentral:rRNA from 1 species
GAUGAACGCUGGCGGCGUGCCUAACACAUGCAAGUCGAACGAGCAGCCAGAAGUGCUUGCACAUCUGGUGGGCGAGUGGCGGACGGGUGCGUAACACGUAGGAACCUGCCCUGAGGAGGGGGACAAUCGCUGGAAACGGCGGCUAAUCCCGCAUAGUCUCGGCCGGGGGAGACCUGGUUGAGUAAAACUCCGGUGCCUCAGGAGGGGCCUGCGGCCUAUCAGGUAGUUGGUGGGGUAAAGGCCUACCAAGCCGAUGACGGGUAGGGGGCGUGAGAGCGUGGCCCCCCACACGGGAACUGAGACACGGUCCCGACGCCUACGGGCGGCAGCAGUGAGGAAUCUUGCCCAAUGGGGGAAACCCUGAGGCAGCGACGCCGCGUGCGGGAGGAAGGCCUUCGGGUCGUAAACCGCUUUUCUGGGGGACGAGGAAGGACGGUACCCCAGGAAUAAGUCCCGGCUAACUACGUG